GGUUAAGCGACUAAGCGUACACGGUGGAUGCCCUGGCAGUCAGAGGCGAUGAAGGACGUGCUAAUCUGCGAUAAGCGUCGGUAAGGUGAUAUGAACCGUUAUAACCGGCGAUUUCCGAAUGGGGAAACCCAGUGUGAUUCGUCACACUAUCAUUAACUGAAUCCAUAGGUUAAUGAGGCGAACCGGGGGAACUGAAACAUCUAAGUACCCCGAGGAAAAGAAAUCAACCGAGAUUCCCCCAGUAGCGGCGAGCGAACGGGGAGCAGCCCAGAGCCUGAAUCAGUGUGUGUGUUAGUGGAAGCGUCUGGAAAGGCGCGCGAUACAGGGUGACAGCCCCGUACACAAAAAUGCACAUAUUGUGAGCUCGAUGAGUAGGGCGGGACACGUGGUAUCCUGUCUGAAUAUGGGGGGACCAUCCUCCAAGGCUAAAUACUCCUGACUGACCGAUAGUGAACCAGUACCGUGAGGGAAAGGCGAAAAGAACCCCGGCGAGGGGAGUGAAAAAGAACCUGAAACCGUGUACGUACAAGCAGUGGGAGCACGCUUCGGCGUGUGACUGCGUACCUUUUGUAUAAUGGGUCAGCGACUUAUAUUCUGUAGCAAGGUUAACCGAAUAGGGGAGCCGAAGGGAAACCGAGUCUUAACUGGGCGUUAAGUUGCAGGGUAUAGACCCGAAACCCGGUGAUCUAGCCAUGGGCAGGUUGAAGGUUGGGUAACACUAACUGGAGGACCGAACCGACUAAUGUUGAAAAAUUAGCGGAUGACUUGUGGCUGGGGGUGAAAGGCCAAUCAAACCGGGAGAUAGCUGGUUCUCCCCGAAAGCUAUUUAGGUAGCGCCUCGUGAAUUCAUCUCCGGGGGUAGAGCACUGUUUCGGCAAGGGGGUCAUCCCGACUUACCAACCCGAUGCAAACUGCGAAUACCGGAGAAUGUUAUCACGGGAGACACACGGCGGGUGCUAACGUCCGUCGUGAAGAGGGAAACAACCCAGACCGCCAGCUAAGGUCCCAAAGUCAUGGUUAAGUGGGAAACGAUGUGGGAAGGCCCAGACAGCCAGGAUGUUGGCUUAGAAGCAGCCAUCAUUUAAAGAAAGCGUAAUAGCUCACUGGUCGAGUCGGCCUGCGCGGAAGAUGUAACGGGGCUAAACCAUGCACCGAAGCUGCGGCAGCGACACUGUGUGUUGUUGGGUAGGGGAGCGUUCUGUAAGCCUGUGAAGGUGUGCUGUGAGGCAUGCUGGAGGUAUCAGAAGUGCGAAUGCUGACAUAAGUAACGAUAAAGCGGGUGAAAAGCCCGCUCGCCGGAAGACCAAGGGUUCCUGUCCAACGUUAAUCGGGGCAGGGUGAGUCGACCCCUAAGGCGAGGCCGAAAGGCGUAGUCGAUGGGAAACAGGUUAAUAUUCCUGUACUUGGUGUUACUGCGAAGGGGGGACGGAGAAGGCUAUGUUGGCCGGGCGACGGUUGUCCCGGUUUAAGCGUGUAGGCUGGUUUUCCAGGCAAAUCCGGAAAAUCAAGGUUGAGGCGUGAUGACGAGGCACUACGGUGCUGAAGCAACAAAUGCCCUGCUUCCAGGAAAAGCCUCUAAGCAUCAGGUAACAUCAAAUCGUACCCCAAACCGACACAGGUGGUCAGGUAGAGAAUACCAAGGCGCUUGAGAGAACUCGGGUGAAGGAACUAGGCAAAAUGGUGCCGUAACUUCGGGAGAAGGCACGCUGAUAUGUAGGUGAAGUCCCUCGCGGAUGGAGCUGAAAUCAGUCGAAGAUACCAGCUGGCUGCAACUGUUUAUUAAAAACACAGCACUGUGCAAACACGAAAGUGGACGUAUACGGUGUGACGCCUGCCCGGUGCCGGAAGGUUAAUUGAUGGGGUUAGCGCAAGCGAAGCUCUUGAUCGAAGCCCCGGUAAACGGCGGCCGUAACUAUAACGGUCCUAAGGUAGCGAAAUUCCUUGUCGGGUAAGUUCCGACCUGCACGAAUGGCGUAAUGAUGGCCAGGCUGUCUCCACCCGAGACUCAGUGAAAUUGAACUCGCUGUGAAGAUGCAGUGUACCCGCGGCAAGACGGAAAGACCCCGUGAACCUUUACUAUAGCUUGACACUGAACAUUGAGCCUUGAUGUGUAGGAUAGGUGGGAGGCUUUGAAGUGUGGACGCCAGUCUGCAUGGAGCCGACCUUGAAAUACCACCCUUUAAUGUUUGAUGUUCUAACGUUGGCCCCUGAUCGGGGUUGCGGACAGUGUCUGGUGGGUAGUUUGACUGGGGCGGUCUCCUCCUAAAGAGUAACGGAGGAGCACGAAGGUUGGCUAAUCCUGGUCGGACAUCAGGAGGUUAGUGCAAUGGCAUAAGCCAGCUUGACUGCGAGCGUGACGGCGCGAGCAGGUGCGAAAGCAGGUCAUAGUGAUCCGGUGGUUCUGAAUGGAAGGGCCAUCGCUCAACGGAUAAAAGGUACUCCGGGGAUAACAGGCUGAUACCGCCCAAGAGUUCAUAUCGACGGCGGUGUUUGGCACCUCGAUGUCGGCUCAUCACAUCCUGGGGCUGAAGUAGGUCCCAAGGGUAUGGCUGUUCGCCAUUUAAAGUGGUACGCGAGCUGGGUUUAGAACGUCGUGAGACAGUUCGGUCCCUAUCUGCCGUGGGCGCUGGAGAACUGAGGGGGGCUGCUCCUAGUACGAGAGGACCGGAGUGGACGCAUCACUGGUGUUCGGGUUGUCAUGCCAAUGGCACUGCCCGGUAGCUAAAUGCGGAAGAGAUAAGUGCUGAAAGCAUCUAAGCACGAAACUUGCCCCGAGAUGAGUUCUCCCUGACUCCUUGAGAGUCCUGAAGGAACGUUGAAGACGACGACGUUGAUAGGCCGGGUGUGUAAGCGCAGCGAUGCGUUGAGCUAACCGGUACUAAUGAACCGUGAGGCUUAACCUU
rnacentral:rRNA from 1 species